rnacentral:rRNA from 1 species
CAGCAGCCGCGGUAAUACGUAGGGUGCAAGCGUUAAUCGGAAUUACUGGGCGUAAAGCGUGCGCAGGCGGUUCGCUAAGACAGAUGUGAAAUCCCCGGGCUUAACCUGGGAACUGCAUUUGCGACUGGCGGGCUAGAGUAUGGCAGAGGGGGGUAGAAUUCCACGUGUAGCAGUGAAAUGCGUAGAGGUGUGGAGGAAUACCGAUGGCGAAGGCAGCCCCCUGGGCCAAUACUGACGCUCAUGCACGAAAGCGUGGGGAGCAAACAGGAUUAGAUACCCCUGUAGUCCCUGUCUCUUAUAC